rnacentral:rRNA from 1 species
AGAGUUUGAUCCUGGCUCAGAACGAACGCUGGCGGCGUGCCUAAUACAUGCAAGUCGAACGUGAUGUCGUAGCAAUACGAUUGAAAGUGGCGAACGGGUGAGUAACACGUAAGCAAUCUGCCUCUAAGAUUGGGAUAACCCUGCCAACGCGGGGCUAAUACCGGAUGUGGUCAAGUUAACGCAUGUUGAUUUGAUUAAAGGAGCAAUCCGCUUAGAGAUGAGCUUGCGGCCCAUUAGCUUGUUGGUGAGGUAACGGCUCACCAAGGCAGUGAUGGGUAGCCGGCCUGAGAGGGUGAUCGGCCACAUUGGGACUGAGAUACGGCCCAGACACCUACGGGUGGCUGC